CAACCUGCCCAGAAGAGGGGAAUAGCCCGGGGAAACUCGGAUUAAUACCGCAUGUGAUUCCUCCUGGCAUUAGGAGGCAAUUAAAGGUGGGGAUCCUUCGGGACCUGCCGCUUCUGGAUGAGCCUAAGUCGGAUUAGCUUGUUGGUGAGGUAAAGGCUCACCAAGGCGACGAUCCGUAGCUGGUCUGAGAGGACGAUCAGCCACACUGGGACUGAGACGCGGCCCAG
rnacentral:rRNA from 1 species